UUGGAGCGAGAGAAGAGACACAGAUAAAGGGGUCACAUGAAACUAGAUGAAAAGAGUAACAGCCCCCAAACCCGUACAGUAACGGAAGCCUGGAGAAAUGAGAUUUUCCCCUAGUGUAUUUGCAGGAACUCAGGCCUGGUGACAUUCAUCUUGCAAGGAAUGUUUUCCUGCUAUAAGCACACAGCAUGUGGGGAUUGAGCAGCUUCAGAAAGCCAAGGUGAAAGAUCCCAGGACAACCAUGAAGACCAGGCAGGCAGGCAGAAGGUGGGGACUGAUGUUUUAAAGUGAGAAUCAGCAAUGGAGAAAAGCUUGAAUUCAUACUAGAAACAAAUAUACAUGCACUUCCAUGUACUGUAUCCUAGAGAACAAUGCAAAUGUCCUGAAUUUUAAAAUGAUAUAUGAGCUGUGAUCAAGACAGGAAAAAAUGCCAGACUUAUUUGGAAAUCUCAGUGAGAUGCUCCGGCCCUUUCAGCUGGUGUCAACCUUCCCUGUGGAACUCCUCUUGAAGAGCUUGUUUGGAUAGCACUCAACCAGCUGCCCCUGACUGCCCUGCUGCGAAUGGGCUGCUGAUACAGCUGCUAUUGCCAGCUAGCCUGUGCCCUCCAGCUUUGAGAUCUCAGCGGGAUGACAAACUGAGGAGACAGACAUUCUGGUUCCUGAUCUACAGAGCAUAGAAGAUUAAUUAACACGCGCCCCAGCAAAAGGUUACACACAGAAGCAGUUAAAGAGGAAGAAACCACACCUGCUUGUGUUAGCAACUUGAAAGUCCCACGUUAAAUGCUUUGCACAAAACCUUCUCUCCCAUAAGAAUCUCACAGGUCACUUCUGAACGAUCUGGGAAUUUACACCAUUGAAGCUGAUUAAUGAAGGUUGAUUUGCGUAUGGAAAUGGAAAGGUAAUAUACAGA